rnacentral:rRNA from 1 species
GCUGCCGGCAGGCUUAACACAUGCAAGUCGAACGGUAGCACGUAGAAGCUUGCUUUCUUGCUGACGAGUGGCGGACGGGUGAGUAAUGCUUGGGAAUCUGGCUUAUGGAGGGGGAUAACUACUGGAAACGGUAGCUAAUACCGCGUAAUAUCGAGAGAUUAAAGGGUGGGACUUUCGGGCCACCUGCCAUAAGAUGAGCCCAAGUGGGAUUAGGUAGUUGGUGGGGUAAAGGCCUACCAAGCCUGCGAUCUCUAGCUGGUCUGAGAGGAUGGCCAGCCACACUGGAACUGAGACACGGUCCAGACUCCUACGGGAGGCAGCAGUGGGGAAUAUUGCACAAUGGGGGGAACCCUGAUGCAGCCAUGCCGCGUGAAUGAAGAAGGCCUUCGGGUUGUAAAGUUCUUUCGGUGAUGAGGAAGGCAGAUAAGUUAAUAGCUUAUUUGAUUGACGUUAGUCACAGAAGAAGCACCGGCUAACUCCGUGCCAGCAGCCGCGGUAAUACGGAGGGUGCGAGCGUUAAUCGGAAUAACUGGGCGUAAAGGGCACGCAGGCGGAUUGUUAAGUGAGAUGUGAAAGCCCCGAGCUUAACUUGGGAAUUGCAUUUCAGACUGGCAGUCUAGAGUAUUUUAGGGAGGGGUAGAAUUCCACGUGUAGCGGUGAAAUGCGUAGAGAUGUGGAGGAAUACCGAAGGCGAAGGCAGCCCCUUGGGAAUAUACUGACGCUCAUGUGCGAAAGCGUGGGGAGCA